UACGAAGGGAGCAAGCGUUGCUCGGAUUUAUUGGGCGUAAAGGGUGUGUAGGCGGUUUUGUAAGUUAGAUGUGAAAGCCCAGGGCUUAACCCUGGAAUUGCAUUUAAGACUGCAGAACUUGAAGUUCGAAGAGGUUAGCAGAAUUCCCAGUGUAGAGGUGAAAUUCGUAGAUAUUGGGAAGAAUACCAAUGGCGUAGGCAGCUAACUGGUCGACACUUGACGCUGAGGCACGAAAGCGUGGGGAGCAAACAGG
rnacentral:rRNA from 1 species